rnacentral:lncRNA from 12 species
CCCGAGCGUGGAACAUGGAGGAGGAGGAUUGCAGCAGAAUUAGGAGACGUGUCCUGCUUUGUUUAAAACUUAAAAGUUGAAAGCAAGCAAAGCAAGAUGUCGUGAGGAA